AGUACACUCCUACGGAAGGCAGCAGUGAGGAAUAUUGGUCAAUGGGCGGGAGCCUGAACCAGCCAAGUCGCGUGAGGGAAGAAGGUGCUAAGCAUUGUAAACCUCUUUUGCCGGGGAACAAAAGAUCCCACGCGUGGGAUUAUGAGUGUACCCGGAGAAAAAGCAUCGGCUAACUCCGUGCC
rnacentral:rRNA from 1 species